rnacentral:rRNA from 2 species
CACGCCCUAAACGAUGUCGACUGGUUGUUGGGGGUUUGACACCUUCAGUAACGAAGCUAACGCGUGAAGUCGACCGCCUGGGGAGUACGGCCGCAAGGUUAAAACUCAAAGGAAUUGACGGGGACCCGCACAAGCGGUGGAUUAUGUGGAUUAAUUCGAUGCAACGCGAAAAACCUUACCUACCCUUGACAUGUCCUGAAGCCUGGAGAGAUCCGGGUGUGCCCGAAAGGGAACGGGAACACAGGUGC